rnacentral:sRNA from 21 species
ACUCAACACUAUAUUCUUUAAGAGGGAUGAGUCUGAGUUGUAAAAGCGCGCCGUCUUUGAACGGAUUCUUGAUCAGCUCGUUAGUCCUAUGAUUUAUUUUAAGGAGUUU